ACCUCCAUUUAUUCCUCCUCCUCCCUCUCAACAAAACACUCAUCACAAGUCACAAAAUCUAUCAAACCAUCCGAUCUCUCCCAUGGCCUCACUUCCAGUUCUCCUUUCACCGCAAUUCACCCACACAAUUUUCUCUCUCCUCCUCCUCCUCUCUCUCCUCUCCCUCACUCAUCCCCUCUCCAUCCACGACCUCCUCAAGAGCCAGGGCCUCCCAGCCGGACUCUUCCCCAACAACGUCAAGUCAUACGAUUUAGACCCAUAUGGCAGGCUCAAAGUGUACAUGGACCGGCCCUGCACGGCCAAGUUUGAGACCAGGGUGUUUUUCGACAGCGUGGUACGGGCUAAUCUCAGCUACGGCAGUCUUACUGGGCUGGAGGGACUGUCUCAGGAAGAGCUGUUUCUUUGGUUACCGGUUAAGGACAUAAUCGUCUAUGACCGGGACUCGGGUUUGAUCUUGUUCGAUAUUGGGUAUGCUCACAAGGAGCUGUCUCUCUCCCUCUUUGAAGACCCUCCUGUUUGUCAGCCCCAAGGCGUCUUAUUGAAAGAUGGUGGCCGGAAGGAGUUGGCACUUCAAGUUCAGAGCUAAAAGAAGACAAAGCCUUCUUUCUGACAUGAUUUUGUUUUUUGUGCUUUCCCCCCCCCCCCCCCUCCGUGUUUCCUUGUGGAAAAGAACAAAAAGUGGAACAUUUAAGGGUUCUUAGAAGCUGAUAGGAUCGUAGUUUUGCUAAUGGAAAUGAAACAAACUUUGGAGUCCAUGAACUGAUUAUGUGAAGCCGAGUGUGUCUGAAUUAAUGAAGGUUUGUUGUAUAAAUUAAUUUGUCUAGAAAUGGGCUUUCACGUUUUGAAAUUUGGGUAAAGUCAUUUAGACGAUGA